rnacentral:rRNA from 1 species
CCUACGGGGGGCAGCAGUGAGGAAUAUUGCACAAUGGGGGAAACCCUGAUGCAGCGACGCCGCGUGAGUGAAGAAGUAUCUCGGUACGUAAAGCUCUAUCAGCAGGGAAGAAAAUGACGGUACCUGACUCAGAAGCCAGGCUAACUACGUGCCAGCAGCCGCGGUAAUACGUAGGGGGCAAGCGUUAUCCGGAUUUACUGGGUGUAAAGGGAGCGUAGACGGCAGGACAAGUCUGGAGGGAAAGCCCGGGGCUUAACCCCGGAACUGCUUUGGAAACUGUGUGGCUGGAGGGUAGGAGGGGUAAGCAGAAUUCCAAGUGGAGCGGUGAAAUGCGUAGAGAUUAGGAGGAACACCGGUGGCGAAGGCGGCUUACUGGACUGUAACUGACGUUGAGGCUCGAAAGCGUGGGGAGCAAACAGGAUUAGAUACCCUGGUAGUC